rnacentral:rRNA from 1 species
AAAUUGAAGAGUUUGAUCAUGGCUCAGAUUGAACGCUGGCGGCAGGCCUAACACAUGCAAGUCGAGCGGAAACGAGUUAACUGAACCUUCGGGGAACGUUAACGGCGUCGAGCGGCGGACGGGUGAGUAAUGCCUGGGAAAUUGCCCUGAUGUGGGGGAUAACCAUUGGAAACGAUGGCUAAUACCGCAUAAUAGCU